UACGUAGGGCGCAAGCGUUGUCCGGAAUUAUUGGGCGUAAAGAGCUCGUAGGCGGUCUGUCGCGUCGGAUGUGAAAGCCCGGGGCUUAACCCCGGGUCUGCAUUCGAUACGGGCAGACUAGAGUGUGGUAGGGGAGAUCGGAAUUCCUGGUGUAGCGGUGAAAUGCGCAGAUAUCAGGAGGAACACCGGUGGCGAAGGCGGAUCUCUGGGCCUGUUCUGACGCUGAGGAGCGAAAGCGUGGGGAGCAAACAGG
rnacentral:rRNA from 1 species